rnacentral:rRNA from 1 species
ACAUCCAGAGAAUUUAGCAGAGAUGCUUUAGUGCCUUCGGGAACUCUGAGACAGGUGCUGCAUGGCUGUCGUCAGCUCGUGUUGUGAAAUGUUGGGUUAAGUCCCGNAACGAGCGCAACCCUUAUCCUUUGUUGCCAGCACGUAAUGGUGGGAACUCAAAGGAGACUGCCGGUGAUAAACCGGAGGAAGGUGGGGAUGACGUCAAGUCAUCAUGGCCCUUACGAGUAGGGCUACACACGUGCUACAAUGGCGCAUACAAAGAGAAGCGACCUCGCGAGAGCAAGCGGACCUCAUAAAGUGCGUCGUAGUCCGGAUUGGAGUCUGCAACUCGACUCCAUGAAGUCGGAAUCGCUAGUAAUCGUAAAUCAGAAUGUUACGGUGAACACGUUCCCGGGCCUUGUACACACCGCCCGUCACACCAUGGGAGUGGGUUGCAAAAGAAGUAGAUAGCUUAACCUUCGGGAGGGCGUUUACCACUUUGUGAUUCAUGACUGGGGUGAAGUCGUAACAAGGUAAGCGUAGUGCU